AGGAAGAGAGAGAAAUAGACUGCUGACUACAUGAUGAAACUUCCACAUCUUGUGCUGGAUACCAGUUGCAUCCCUGGACUCUGUAGUUAGCAGACAAUACAUCCCAUUUCUUCUGCUUCAGCUAGUUUGAGUUGGAGAUCAACCUAGAACCAUCCAGAAGCACCCCAUCAUCUACAAAAGAGCUGUUUCCUGUCUCUCCAGCUUUUCCCUUCACCAUCCUCCAGCUCCUCGGAUGGAGGCAGAGGUUUCCUAGAGGUUGAGGUCCUCUCUUCAUCUCCAGAGGGAGGACACAGACCACGUGUCUAACUCACCACUGCAUUCCACCACCUGGCCCAUCAUUUGACGGAUGCAGGAUGGACUUCAUGGGCGUGCAGCCUGGGUAGUUGCACCAAGUCUCACACUCACAAAGUAACUGGAAAGAUGAGUCUAACUUCUUAGAAAAGAAAGACAAGGGAGCUGGAAAAUUCUACAAACAGUGAGUGCUACCUAGAUGGUACCUCCUUAGGAUGCAUGAGCGUCAGCAGGAAUAUCAUAAUUUGAAUAAUAAAAGCAGUAUUAGAAAAUAAUGAAUCUCAAAGGAAAAAGAUGCA